rnacentral:lncRNA from 1 species
UAAUUCAUUACUAAGUGAUACCAGUUUUGCUGCUAAGUAUGACUAAGUACCUAGUCUUGGCAAUAAAGAUAAUGUCAGGUUUUCACUGCAACACUAGAGAAAAAAUGAGGUAUAUAUUAGAGACUAGUGCAAUAUAUUUGGAUUUAUCAUGGAAACGGAGAGCGUAAUUAGGCUGGCAAUUCAUUCUAGUUUCCCUGGGAUAGCCCCAAUUUAUGCAUAUGGUCCUGUUUAAUUAUUAAUUACAUUCUCUGAUGUGUCUCCUGCUUUGCAGGAUAAAUGAUAUGGUCACCAUAGUGAUAAAAGCCCAAACAGCUGAGAUGCUGACCGAGAGUACUACUUCAAACCUGGGGACAGCACAUUCCCUCUCACCAGGAACAGGACAUGGCUUGUAUGGAAACAAAUCUCAUACAAACAUUGUGCCCAGUGUUCCUGCUUGCCCUGCAGCCUAACGCCUCAUGGUCACAGCUCUAGCUGCUGCUUCCUGGGAAGACUGCUUUCAGAAUUCUGCUGUUAUGGUUUAGAUCUGAAAUGUCCCCUAGUGGUCUCAUGUGUUCAGAGGUGGGGCUUUUGGAAGAUGAUUGGAUGAAGGGAGUACUGCUCUCAUCAGUGGAUUCAUCCUUGGGUGAGUUCUAGUGCUGCUAGGAGGUGGGACCUGAUUGGAAGCCAGUCAGGGGAUGUGACUGGAAGGGUGGAUUUUGGUCCUGGUUUUCCCUGCUCCCUCUGCUUCCUGGCUACUAUGGGACAAGCAGCUUUUUUUCUGCCAGGAAGAAAGCCCUUCUCCCAUGCUUUUCUGCCUUGGAAUCGGCCAACCUUCGACUGAACUCCCAGGAAACUGUAAGCCAAAUAAAUUAUCUUCCUUUAAGUUGUAGGUAUUGGGUAUUGUGUCUCAGCUAGAAGAAAACUGACUAGCACUCUGCUUAAGAUAUGUGCUUGCUGUGCCUUUUUGUACUUUCUCAAUUUGGUGCAUAUACAGUGGACCCUCGGAAAUUAUGUUGAUGGAAAUUAUGUUCCUAGAGCACUUGUAAAUUGUAAAAAACUGAGUUUCAGGUAAGUUCAGAAGAAUGCCUGUAAACGCUUAUUUUAGUAGUUUAAACCCUAAAUAUGGGGGCUGGGGAUUUAGCUCAGCGGCAAAAGCGCCUGCCUGGCAAGUGCAAGGUCGUGAGUUCGGUUCCCGGUACCGGAGAAAAACCAAAAAAAAAAAAAAAAAAAAAAAAAACCCUAAAUAUGCUAUGUCGUUGCAGUUAUGUAAUUUAACUUAAUAAAGCACUGUAUUAAUAAAGCCAUAGAAGGUGCAAGGGUGUUUUGGUGGCAUUUUAGGGAUGUUCUUUAAAAAGAGCAAAACCAAGAACAUGAGAGAUAGCUAUAGGCAUUACAGCAACCUGUUGUGAUACAUUGGCCAGAGCUGAUGCAUCCAUCAGAGAUGGGUUACAUGGCAGCAGCCAAUCAGGAGCAUGGAGAACUGAAUAACGCUCUCGGAUUGGCUCCUUGCAACCCCAUUCCCCAAAAAACAAUUGUGGAGGAUAGUUGCGGUUUCUGAGAAAUUGGGAGAGUCUGUGCAAACAAUUAUUAGAUUGUAAAGAAAAAUCUGCAAACAAUGAGGCUGUGAACGAUGAGGCUGCCAACUUUGAACUAUAACUUCUUGGGGGGUAUACUGUAAUUCUUUGUAUUUUAAAUUUUUAGUAAUAUUUGGAGGCAAAACUCAAUGACUUUGGCAUAACAGGAAUAUCUGAAGGGCAAAUUUUACUCUAAGCAGAGAUGUUUAAUCAUGCUCCCUGCCUGAGCACCCCAUUAUGUAAGUCAUCCGACACUGUUUAACCUCUCAUUUUCCCUCCUCUUCUUUACUACUCUCUUCAGCCUAAUUUUACCUUUCAAGCUCUGCUAUGGGACACUGUCACAGCCAACAGCUCAAUGAACACAUUGAAUUAUAUUCCUCUAGAAUAGCUAGUAAGAUGAAAAGGAAAUUAAAAUUUGUUUCCUUUAUCAAGACCGGGGAGUCAGGAUGAGAAACUUGAAUCUCAAGGGUCAUUUUACCAUGCAGGAGACAGCACUUUGGAAGGCAAAUUUGUGGACAAGAAAAUGAGUUGAUCCAAGUGUCUUUGAAUUAAAAGAAAUCAAACAUCGUACAGAAGAUGAAAUGUUUUCUAUAAAGAACUAGCUUACCUUUUAAAUGUGAAGUUGACCAAUAUAGUGUUUGUGACAACAUUUUCUUUCCUCCUGGAAUGUUUACAUGGUAAAUUUGACGCAUGAAGCUGGAGUAGCCAUAUAGCUGUGUGUAUGUGUCGUGUUGUGCAGGGCUGAGCACUGGGAAUGCUAAAAAGUGUGAAGCGUCAGUGCAUUCAAUUUGUGCUGCCAAACAAGCGCUACCUCCAAAUAGUCCCCACACCUGGAUGGAAUUAAUCCCGGUUCCCUCCUUGUGAUGGGAGAGAAAUCAUGCGCUUAAGCUGUAUCACGUGUCUCGCAAAGGUUCCAGACAGACACCAGCCUGGAGAGAGAAACGUGGAUAUUUUCAGUGACUGUUGGUUAAAGGGUAACAUUUCCUUAGUUUCAUAGAGCAGAAUAAAGGACUUUUUGGAGGGCUGCUUUAAAGGAAAAUUUGAAGGAGCCACUUCUGUGGUAAUUCACAGCUGGCAGAGGAAGACACCAGCAUGUAGAAAUCUUUCCUCUGAUCACUUAGUCUGUUAGAGACAGUCUCAGCUUGACUCUGUACACAGGUGGUUUACUUCAAAGGAGGAAGAACAGCUUCAGAAGGAAUCCAUGGCAUAGGUGCUUAAGGGCUUUCUGGACAUCUGAAAUGCACAUGCAAAAUACUGAGUAUUGGUGCAUUUCCCAAGGGUUCAUAGCUUUCCUUGGGUUCUCAAAAAAGUGAGAAGCUCAGAAAAUUUUAGGCUGUGCCUACUGCCUUGCAUCAACAUAAAAACAGUGAGUCCCUAACUUACAAACAUUUGCGCUGUGAACUUCCACAGGUGUACUGUAUACGACUUUGUCAGACUUGGAAGGAAUCCUUCUUACGAAUGUUCUCCUGGAACAGAACUCGUCUGUAAGUUGGUGACUUACUGUAGACUGGUAGUGACCUCAGGUUUUAAAGAACUACCCAGCUGUGUGUGUGUGUGUGUGUGUGUGUGUGUGUGUGUGUGUGCCAAAGUUCCAGCCAAGAUAUAAAAGGAAAAAAACCACAUAUCCAUAACUAAAUGGCACCAAAGAAACCAAAACAAAAAUAGACCCGAGGAAAGCCUGACCACUGUAGUCAGAUAGCUGGGAAAGAGUGAUCCAGAAAGAAAGAGCCAUUUUGCCUAUAAAGACUUUACUCCAGCUCAACACCAGGACAAAGCUUCUCCCCUCUGUCUCUUCAGUG